AAUUUCCUAUAUAUCCCCUUUUGCAACAUGUGCAUAGCCUUCUCCAUUAUCAACAUGCUCCAUGAGAGAGGUACUUUGUUACAACUGAUGACCCCAGCGUUGACACAUUAUUAUCACCCAUGAUCCAUAGCUUACAUUAGGGUUCACGCUUGCUGUUGUACAAGUCAUCAGUUUUCAACCUUCUUUUAAUCAGAGGUAUUUCCUGGUAUUUUAUAAGGGAAAAAUAAAAUGUGACAUCACUAACCUGUUAUAUUGUAGAAUAUAACAAUGAAUCUUUUGUUUUAUAAAGGGCCU
rnacentral:lncRNA from 10 species